AUGUCCGUGUGGUCGCUCCGUCGCCAUCCACACGACCGAACCGAGACUGGGACGCGGACUUCAGUGCUGCCUGCCUGCCAGCCAUGAGGCACCGCCUGGCUGCGCGGCAUGGCGAGGCUCACGUGUGCCGCGGGCUUCGGGAACGGGACAAGAGAGAACUCACGGGUGCCGCCGUGCGAAACGGCAGGUCGAUCAAGGGGAAAUGGUCAAUGUACAGAACUCGACUCGUACAUUAUUUUUUGAGCAUGAAAACAAAUUGAGCAUGAGGCUCCUACAUGAUCAGUUUAUUUACUACUCCAUCCAUCAUAAAUUGCAAGUCAUUCCAAAAACUUUAUACAGUUAAAACAUCUCAAGUUUAGCUAAAACUAUAAAAAAAAAUAUAAAAUAUGAAGAUAUAAUUAAAAAAACUUAGCUAAUAUCAUAAAUGUUAUUAUCCUAUCAUAUAAUUGAUGAAGUAGUACACUUGCACAAUAAACACGUGGCAGCAGUUGCUUGCCACUGGCGAGAAGCGGACCCCGAAGUUGGAACUGACCAAUGGCCUUCUACGAACUGAAGUCAGAGUUCCGAUAGCUUGCUUGGUGAUCUGAUUUUGCAGUUUUUCUUUUGACAGAGUCGAGCUCAUUUAAUUUGCACGACCUACAUUACAAAAUACUUACAUCACUGACAGGAACGAUUGCGUUUGUAUUAUUGUAUAUACGUUGCUUAAUCCAAGGGUAACCUGCUAGUAGUAUCCUUGGACAGGUACGUAGACAGGGACAGGCAGGACGUACAUUAUCCUCCUCCGUUUCGCAACGUUCAGAGAUGCAGGUGGCGCCC
rnacentral:lncRNA from 1 species